GUAGGUGGCAAGCGUUGUCCGGAGUUAUUGGGGCGUAAAGCGCGCGCAGGCGGUUCUUUAAGUCUGAUGUGAAAGCCCACGGGCUCAACCGUGGAGGGUCAUUGGAAACUGGAGAACUUGAGUACAGAAGAGGAAAGCGGAAUUCCACGUGUAGCGGUGAAAUGCGUAGAGAUGUGGAGGAACACCAGUGGCGAAGGCGGCUUUCUGGUCUGUAACUGACGCUGAGGCGCGAAAGCGUGGGGAGCAAACAGGAUUAGAUACCCUGGUAGUCCACGCCGUAAACGAUGAGUGCUAAGUGUUAGGGGGUUUCCGCCCCUUAGUGCUGCAGCUAACGCAUUAAGCACUCCGCCUGGGAGUACGGCCGCAAAGGCUG
rnacentral:rRNA from 1 species